UGCUCUGUGACGGCCCUGGGCCUUGUAGGCUGGUCUUGUUGUCCCUCUUUGUGCUCCUCCCAUUUGCAGGUGUGCCUGAUCGGGUGAUUGGAGUGCAGGAUACUUAAAGCUGGCUGUCUCCGUCUUUCAGCGGCGCUGGGUGGCUCGUAGCUGGUCGUUGGUCACUGGUCGUUGGUGGUUUGUCGCCUGUGGCCCUCAGCGUCCAUUCUGCAGAGGCAAUGGUGCUGGUACCGAAAAGGGCUGAUUUCAAAGGAAAGAUGAUUGAAGUAGACAUCUACGAAGCAGGGAAGCACUUUAUGAAGGCGCGACCAGUAGAAGACAGCAAGCCUUUCACUCCCUCUAUUGCAGAGCCUCUUCAGAAAGGAGAAGUGUCUGGUCUGUUGCAGG